GAUGAACGCUGGCGGCGUGCCUAAUACAUGCAAGUAGAACGCUGAAGGAAGGAGCUUGCUCUUUCCGGAUGAGUUGCGAACGGGUGAGUAACGCGUAGGUAACCUGCCUGGUAGCGGGGGAUAACUAUUGGAAACGAUAGCUAAUACCGCAUAACAGUAGAUGUUGCAUGAUAUCUACUUAAAAGGUGCAAUUGCACCACUACCAGCUGGACCUGCGUUGUAUUAGCUAGUUGGUGAGGUAACGGCUCACCAAGGCGACGAUACAUAGCCGACCUGAGAGGGUGGUCGGCCACCAUGGGACUGAGACAAGGCCCAGACUCCUACGGGAGGCAGCAGUAGGGAAUCUUCGGCAAUGGACGGAAGUCUGACCGAGGAACGCCGCGGGAGUGAAGAAGGGUUUCGGAUCGUAAAGCUCUGUUGUAAGAGAAGAACGAGUGUGAGAGUGGAAAGUUCACACUGUGACGGUAUCUUACCAGAAAGGGACGGCUAACUACGUG
rnacentral:rRNA from 1 species